CUGCAUGGUGGUGCAGGUGGUAGCACUGUUGCCUUGCAGCACAAAAGUCCUGGGUUCAACUCCCAGUCAGGAGU